UACAGAGGUCCCAAGCGUUGUUCGGAUUCACUGGGCGUAAAGGGCGCGUAGGUGGUUGGGUAAGUUUGAUGUGAAAUCUCCGAGCCUAACUCGGAAAAUGCAUUGAAUACUAUCCAACUUAAGGAUUGGAGGGGAGACUGGAAUUCUCGGUGUAGCAGUGAAAUGCGUAGAUAUCGAGAGGAACACCAGUGGCGAAGGCGAGUCUCUGGACAAUUCCUGACACUGAGGCGCGAAAGCUAGGGGAGCAAAC
rnacentral:rRNA from 1 species